UUUUAUAUUUGCAAAUUUCACAAAAUGGCAGCGAGUUGAAAAAAAGUUUCAUUUUUUGACCAUGUGUUUCAAUCUAAAAAUGACUGUAAAAAAUUGAAAAAAAAGCUUGUGGGUAGACCUAGCGAGAUGUUUUGUGAAUAAGUAACGCUUUACAAAUCUAGAAUAUCUUCUAUGGUUUCGUCAAAAUGGUGCCAAAACUUUUGAAAAACACUACUUUCGGGAAAACGCGUUUAAAGAUAAAUGUUACAAUUACAUAAUGGCAAAACGUACCAAUUUAAUCAGCUUUGCCAGGACCGUACAGCAUGUUUUCGAUCAAAUCCUUCACGGGCAUGUUUUUAGUUAUGUCUACUUUAGAAAUAUGAAAAAAAAAAACGAUUUUUUCAAACCGCGAAGGUAGAAGACCCCCUUAAUACGGUGACAGCAAUACAGGAUGUUUUUAUAGUGUGAUUUGGUGAGUCAGAUGCAAGCGUUUCUGUAACCUGAGAUCUUUCUUGAGAUGAAGGCGAGGGCAAGUCUCCAAGGUGAAGGAGAUUGAAAAUUGCCGGAGUUGAAUGGCGGGCCUAUACAAAUCAUAAGUUCUAUUACUUCCCACCUAAUUGCCUGGAGAAUAUGGCGAAAUGCAUGGCGAAAUCCAUAUUCUCCAACGUCCUGCAGUGCUGCUCCGGAAACGAUGCCAUGGCUUCCCACGUUGGAAUUUAAUUUUUUUAAGACUGGGUCCUCCAAACGCUCCUCCCAUUUUGCAGCUUUCAGUUUUUGAAGUACAUGGACGAUUAUGCAUCAACCUAUUUGUUUUCACCAAGCGAAUGGUUUCCAACCCAGAGUCCCGCAACAAGAUAGUAGAUGAUCUAGCUUCUCUAUAUUUGUGAGAUCCGGAUGGCUAUCUAUGAUGGUAGUAAGCAUAAAAUAAAAGUCUAGCCAAUUAGCGUAGCCCCCAGCGAAUCUUAGGAGCUCAAGAGGGGGCAGAGUCUGUGCCCUAUGCCGGAGUGGACACAAUCACACUGAGAAAUGAUGUCCGUCAAGGAUGAGUGGGAGUGCAUUUGCAAGGUGCGCUUUGAAAUCUCCCCCCGAACUGAGGAUUUAAGCGUUACGAGAAAGUCAUAAAAAUUUUCACUCAGAUUACUUUCAAUUUCGUCCAAACCAAGUUCCUCGAGCUCGGAAUUUUCUAUUGAAAAUUGCAGCCGCCUUCCGCUUUAAAGAUGUUGUUACGAACUGUUUAUUUUCAUAUUUGUGGCAGUGCCGCUAGCUCAGGCUUUUCCCAGGGCGGAGUUUCCGCCCUGCCACACAGCUCGCAACAUAAACAUCGAUAACUAUAAACGUCUCACAACUCUACACAACGAAGGCAUUAAAUCUUACAAAUUGACGAGAACUUUAAGUUUUUUUGGCCGCAGAUGCUUUGGCCAUGCGUGCCCACCAAACCUAGGAUGCCCGGACGAUUUAACGGACAUCACCCAUUAUUUAUACGUCGGGGUCACUCCAGACGACAACGACGGCUCCAUCUCCCCCACAGUGAACACUCACUCAACCAUUCCGGCUGAAACGGUCAAAGCGACAAGUCUAGGAAGCCUUCGAGAUUUACAAGACACCGCGGAAACUUGGCCCGCAAUUGGCGGUGCUUUUAAUGACGGCACUGAAACGGACGUAUUUACUGACCUUGACUCUAGGAUAGGCUAUUAGUAUAUGGAUAAUGUUAUCGGACGGAAGAACCCUAAUUUUAGAGGCUUCUAAUAAACUAACUAUUGGGGUGUCUUGUUCAAUAA